GAAACAGACAGAGGAGACAGGGAUUAAGAUUGGCUGGAGAGGAGAGGAGAUCGGAACGCUGGUCACAUCUACGCAGCAAACAAGUAGAGGGAAAGCUAGAAAAAAAUGACAGAAGGGAAGAAUAAAGACAAAUGGGCGAUCGAAACACAGAUGGGAAAAUAUAGACAAUAUGCAUAAAGAAGUUUUCCCGGAGUGACUAAGAGGAUAGGGAUAAAAGAGGUAGGAGGAAAAGGCGAAGGAGGAAAAGAGAAAUGAGUAAGGAGACAAAGCAAGUAAUCAGUGCACAGGUGCAGAUCUAAAUGCUUAGAAAAUCACCAGGCUGUUCGGCUGAGCCUGAAGAGCCACGGCCAUACCCAAGAGGGGACCAUCAGAAAGACAGAAACAGGCAAUUUAAGCAGCUAGCUACUGGGGUAGAAAAAAAAAUGAAAAGAAAAAAAUAGAAGAUGGAAAAGGUGAGAAGCAGGAGAGGAAAAGCCCAAAGGAGACACUGGCCCAGAAACCUUUUUAACUUUCUGUAAAAAUCUUUAAGGCCCCAAACUAGGCCAAGAUUCUGACUGACAUUUCUGAGCUUGCCAGCUGCUGUUUCCUUGGGAGGAUUCUGACAGGAAGGCAUAGAAAUGCAAGCCAACACCGCCAGCCCUGGAAAUAAAUAAAUAACACUCUACUAAACAUGUCAAUGGGGACAGGAGCCUGCGGGAAGAAAGCCCACAAAGGAGGAGGAACCUGCCUGCGACUCUCCCCAGGGGUCUGAGCGCAAACCCAGAGGGAGUUGAACUCUCAGAGGGCAAUGCUGAGCUGAGGACGCCCCACGUGGCCUGAAGUUGUGCCUCACCCACUACAGAGCUUCUGAGGAGGGGAGAAGGAUGAGGGCUGUGCCUCCCUCACUGAGCCCCAACCCCAGAAUGGCUUCAUGUCCCCUGGAGGCCUUGCUUCCUUAUUUUUAGGGUGCCUAUUGCCAUGCUCCCCCAGGAGAAGCUGGAGGACAGGGUCAAGGAGAUGACCAUAGGAUGAACUGGCUGGCAGUGCCCCAAGACACAUAUGUCAUUGAGGGAAGGAGGAUGGAACAGGCCUGGACAAGUGACAAUCGACUCUCCAAAGUAUCUGCUCUCGAGACUGCAUCACCU